rnacentral:rRNA from 1 species
GAUGAACGCUGGCGGCGUGCCUAAUACAUGCAAGUCGAGCGAACAGACGAGGAGCUUGCUCCUCUGACGUUAGCGGCGGACGGGUGAGUAACACGUGGAUAACCUACCUAUAAGACUGGGAUAACUUCGGGAAACCGGAGCUAAUACCGGAUAAUAUAUUGAACCGCAUGGUUCAAUAGUGAAAGACGGUUUUGCUGUCACUUAUAGAUGGAUCCGCGCCGCAUUAGCUAGUUGGUAAGGUAACGGCUUACCAAGGCAACGAUGCGUAGCCGACCUGAGAGGGUGAUCGGCCACACUGGAACUAGGACACGGUCCAGACUCCUACGGGAGGCAGCAGUAGCGAAUCUUACGCCAUGGGCGGAAGCCUGACGGAGCAACGCGCCGUGAGUGAUGAAGGUCUUCGGAUCGUAAAACUCUGUUAUUAGGGAAGAACAAAUGUGUAAGUAACUAUGCACGUCUUGACGGUACCUAAUCAGAAAGCCACGGCUAACUACGUG